rnacentral:rRNA from 1 species
AAUACGUAGGGUGCGAGCGUUGUCCGGGAUUGUUGGGCGUAAAGAGCUCGUAGGCGGUUUGUCGCGUCGGCCGUGAAAACUUGGGGCUUAACUCCAAGCUUGCGGUCGAUACGGGCAGACUUGAGUUCGGCAGGGGAGACUGGAAUUCCUGGUGUAGCGGUGAAAUGCGCAGAUAACAGGAGGAACACCGGUGGCGAAGGCGGGUCUCUGGGCCGAUACUGACGCUGAGGAGCGAAAGCGUGGGGAGCGAACAGGA